GACGAACGCUGGCGGCGUGCUUAACACAUGCAAGUCGAACGGAAAGGCCCUGCUUUUGUGGGGUGCUCGAGUGUCGAACGGGUGAGUAACACGUGAGUAACCUGCCCUUGACUUUGGGAUAACUUCAGGAAACUGGGGCUAAUACCGAAUAGGAGCUCCUGCUGCAUGGUGGGGGUUGGAAAGUUUCGGCGGUUGGGGAUGGACUAGCGGCUUAUCAGCUUGUUGGUGGGGUAGUGGCUUACCAAGGCUUUGACGGGUAGCCGGCCUGAGAGGGUGACCGGCCACAUUGGGACUGAGAUACGGCCCAGACUCAUAAGGGAGGCAGCAGUGGGGAAGAGUGAACAAUGGGGGGAAGACUGAUGGAGGAACGCCGCGUGCGGGAUGACGGGCUUAGGGUUGUAAACCGCUUUGGCAUGUGACGAAGAGUGAGUGACGGUAAUGGGUAAAGAAGCACCGGCUAACUACGUG
rnacentral:rRNA from 1 species